rnacentral:tRNA from 1 species
GCCUCGAUGGCGGAACUGGUAGACGCGCUGGAUUCAAAAUCCAGUGGACAUUAGUCCGUGUGGGUUCGAUUCCCACUCGAGGUACAA